GACGAACGCUGGCGGCGUGCCUAACACAUGCAAGUCGAGCGAUGAAAUCCCUUCGGGGAUGGAUUAGCGGCGGACGGGUGAGUAACACGUGGGUAACCUGCCUCAAAGAGGGGGAUAGCCUCCCGAAAGGGAGAUUAAUACCGCAUAACAUUAGUUUUUCGCAUGAAGAACUAAUUAAAGGAGCAAUCCGCUUUGAGAUGGACCCGCGGCGCAUUAGCUAGUUGGUGAGGUAAAGGCUCACCAAGGCGACGAUGCGUAGCCGACCUGAGAGGGUGAUCGGCCACAUUGGAACUGAGACACGGUCCAGACUCCUACGGGAGGCAGCAGUGGGGAAUAUUGCACAAUGGGCGAAAGCCUGAUGCAGCAACGCCGCGUGAGUGAUGAAGGCCUUCGGGUUGUAAAGCUCUGUCUUUUGGGACGAUAAUGACGGUACCAAAGGAGGAAGCCACGGCUAACUACGUGCCAGCCGCCGCCGUAA
rnacentral:rRNA from 1 species